rnacentral:rRNA from 1 species
AUGAAGACCGUCGAGGGCGACCGCCACCACGAAGGCGUUGGGGCGCGUGGAGUGGGAGAAGAGCGCCGCGUACUCGAAGCAGAGGGCACCACCGGGGCACCAGCGGUCAUGCCAGAAGGAGGUAGUGCGCCCGUCCCCAAGCGCCACACGGGUGAUGGCCCUGUACGUGGGGAGCCCCCGGCGGACGAUGACCUCGAGAAAGGAAGGAGCCAAAGAGCAGUCGCCAACGUCCCCCCUAAUGCUGCGGAGGAACCAGCUCUUCCAAGGAGGACAGUCCGGUUGGUGAAGCUUGUGGACGAAGUUGAGGAGCAGGCACAUGUUUUGUCGUCGUAG